GACGAACGCUGGCGGCGUGCUUAACACAUGCAGGUCGAACGGAAAGGCCCUGCUUUUGUGGGGUGCUCGAGUGGCGAACGGGUGAGUAACACGUGAGUAACCUGCCCUUGACUUUGGGAUAACUUCAGGAAACUGGGGCUAAUACCGGAUAGGAGCUCCUGCUGCAUGGUGGGGGUUGGAAAGUUUCGGCGGUUGGGGAUGGACUCGCGGCUUAUCAGCUUGUUGGUGGGGUAGUGGCUUACCAAGGCUUUGACGGGUAGCCGGCCUGAGAGGGUGACCGGCAACAUUAGGACUGGGAUGCGGCCCAGACUCCUACGGGAGGCAGCAGUGGGGAAUAUUGCACAAUGGGCGGAAGCAUGAUGCAGCAACGCCGCGUGCGGGAUGACGGCCUUCGGGUUGUAAACCGCUUUCGCCUGUGACGAAGCGUGAGUGACGGUAAUGGGUAAAGAAGCACCGGCUAACUACGUG
rnacentral:rRNA from 1 species